rnacentral:rRNA from 1 species
UCCGGUUGAUCCUGCCAGAGGUUACUGCUAUCGGUGUUCGCCUAAGCCAUGCGAGUCAUAUGUUCUUCGUGAACAUGGCGUACUGCUCAGUAACACGUGGAUAACCUGCCCUUGGGUCCGGCAUAACCCCGGGAAACUGGGGAUAAUUCCGGAUAACGCAUAUAUGCUGGAAUGCUUUCUGCGUAAAAUGGAUUCGUCUGCCCAAGGAUGGGUCUGCGGCCUAUCAGGUAGUAGUGGGUGUAAUGUACCUACUAGCCGACGACGGGUACGGGUUGUGAGAGCAAGAGCCCGGAGAUGGAUUCUGAGACAUGAAUCCAGGCCCUACGGGGCGCAGCAGGCGCGAAAACUUUACAAUGCGGGAAACCGUGAUAAGGGGACACCCGAGUGCCAGCAUCAUAUGCUGGCUGUCCGGGUGUGUAAAAUACACCCGUUAGCAAGGGCCGGGCAAGACCGGUGCCAGCCGCCGCGGUAACACCGGCGGCCCGAGUGGUGAUCGUGAUUAUUGGGUCUAAAGGGUCCGUAGCCGGUUUGGUCAGUCCUCCGGGAAAUCUGAUAGCUCAACUAUUAGGCUUUCGGGGGAUACUGCCAGGCUUGGAACCGGGAGAGGUAAGAGGUACUACAGGGGUAGGAGUGAAAUCUUGUAAUCCCUGUGGGACCACCUGUGGCGAAGGCGUCUUACCAGAACGGGUUCGACGGUGAGGGACGAAAGCUGGGGGCACGAACCGGAUUAGAUACCCGGGUAGUCCCAGCCGUAAACGAUGCUCGCUAGGUGUCAGGCAUGGCGCGACCGUGUCUGGUGCCGCAGGGAAGCCGUGAAGCGAGCCACCUGGGAAGUACGGCCGCAAGGCUGAAACUUAAAGGAAUUGGCGGGGGAGCACAACAACGGGUGGAGCCUGCGGUUUAAUUGGACUCAACGCCAGACAACUCACCGGGGGCGACAGCAAUAUGUAGGCCAAGCUGAAGACUUUGCCUGAAUCGCUGAGAGGAGGUGCAUGGCCGUCGCCAGUUCGUACUGUGAAGCAUCCUGUUAAGUCAGGUAACGAGCGAGAC